UUCAUUUUAAAUGUGUAGUUUCAAUAAUUUUUAGGAUUAUCGUUAAACUCCAGUUUGAACCCUUCUAAACCAUAUUGGAAAAGUAUGCUCGCAAAAUGGAUAAUGAUUGUAGUGGUGAGCAACUCCGAAGAAUUCUGGAAUGCUAAAUGAGUCAAGGGCAGCCAUGCUAGUGGCGGAGAGAACGUAAAAUAAAGGUGAGUCCAUGGACUUUGGUCUACAUCGUUGGACCUGAAAUGCCGCAACCCGUGACCACUCAAUCAUUAUACAUGUCCGAGAAUCACAGUACCGGACCAGGACGCGUGCGUGACGCCAGACAGUUGGAAAGACGAAGACAUGUCAUACAAACCAAUAUAACGAAUCGAUCAAAGGGGACAAAAGCCUUCCCAUAAGAAACAUACUAGAAAUUGAAUAAUGAAUAUUACAUUAAAAUAUAACAUUCUGCUGCUUAAAUUAUGUACAUUACAAUACCAAUAAUGAUCAGGAUCACGGUUCGAUGCGCUCUAGCUAUAAUAGCUAUGUUAUAUUACUUAGAGCGCUGGGAUUUACCAUGUUGGUUUUUGUGACGCCUACGUUGGCCCAGCCCACUUAUACGAUAACUCAAUUCUAACAUUUUUAGAUGCUUUUUCAAUGCUAUAUGUUGGUCAAAGCCAUUUAAACCAAAUCCAUUUGUCACUUACAAUUUUAUAAGCUUUAAUAACUUAACCAAACAAAUGGAUCAGGUUAUUUUGAAUCAAAUAACCAUUAAGCCCCCAGCUGCAAAACUGAAAAAUAUACGCUACUUUAAACCCACCCAAAAAAGUAAA
rnacentral:sRNA from 1 species